CAGUCAGGCUCCUGGCUGGAGUCCAGCUCCCAGCUGGAUCCUGGUUCUAGCCAGGACCUGACUAUAA
rnacentral:miRNA from 1 species